GCUAAUGCAUGAAGCAAGAACUGAAAGCAGAGAAAAGAUGGGUCAAGAGGACAGGCAGGAAAAGCGAACAAAACAGCAUCUUCCAUGGACAUCAGUACCUUUUCUCAGCAAGUCCAAGACCCCAGGCUCCAAAGUACCAUUCAUAAGUGCUGUGAAUUCAAACACUGAAAAAAGAAAAUAGAGGCUUCUACUCAGACAGAUAUGAGAACAAAGAGGAAAAGAAGAUGAAACAAAAUGUAAAAUAUAAAGACAGAGCAGUAAGGAGUUCCAUAUGCAUUUCAGCAAGAAAAGUAUCCAGUAAAAGACAAGAAAUCCUAGGCUUCCCUGGUGGUCCAGGGGUUAAGAAUCCGCCUUCAGUGUGGGAAGAUCCCAUAUGCCAUCGAGCAACUAAGCCCAUGCAUCACAACUACCGAGCCUGUGCCCUAGAGCCCAGAAGUCAUAACUACUGAAGCCCCGGAACCCUAGAUGUGCUUCACAAGGAGAUCAGCCACCUCAAUGAGAAGCCCAUGCACUGCAAGGAAGAAUGACCUCCACUCUCAGCAACCAGAAAAAGCGCACGUGCAGCAGUGAAGACCUGCCCACCACAGCCAGCAAAUAAAUAAAUCUUUUCAAAAAAAGACAAGAACUUGCU